rnacentral:lncRNA from 10 species
AUAGAGAUGGGAUCUCUUAUGUUGCCCAGGCUGGUCUUGAAUUCCUCCUGGUCUCAAGCGAUCUUCCCACUUCGGCCUCCCAAAGUGCUGGGAUAUAGACGGGAGCCAUUGUGCCCGACCUGGCAGUCGUCUACUAAGAGCUUUGGUAACUCAUUAGCCUCGUGGCUCUGAGUUUUUCCAUGGUUUGGACUGGAUAUCGGUGGAACUCUGGUCAAGCUGGUAUAUUUUGAACCCAAAGACAUCACUGCUGAAGAAGAAGAGGAAGAAGUGGAAAGUCUUAAAAGCAUUCGGAAGUACCUGACCUCCAAUGUGGCUUAUGGGUCUACAGGCAUUCGGGACGUGCACCUCGAGCUGAAGGACCUGACUCUGUGUGGACGCAAAGAUAGGUGAUCUUCAGCUUUGCAAACUGGAUGAACUAGAUUGCUUGAUCAAAGGAAUUUUAUACAUUGACUCAGUCGGAUUCAAUGGACGGUCACAGUGCUAUUACUUUGAAAACCCUGCUGAUUCUGAAAAGUGUCAGAAGUUACCAUUUGAUUUGAAAAAUCCGUAUCCUCUGCUUCUGGUGAACAUUGGCUCAGGGGUUAGCAUCUUAGCAGUAUAUUCCAAAGAUAAUUACAAACGG